AACGAACGCUGGCGGCAUGCCUAACACAUGCAAGUCGAACGAAGGCUUCGGCCUUAGUGGCGCACGGGUGCGUAACGCGUGGGAAUCUGCCCUUGGGUUCGGAAUAACUCAGAGAAAUUUGAGCUAAUACCGGAUGAUGACGUAAGUCCAAAGAUUUAUCGCCCAAGGAUGAGCCCGCGUAAGAUUAGCUAGUUGGUGGGGUAAAGGCCUACCAAGGCGACGAUCUUUAGCUGGUCUGAGAGGAUGAUCAGCCACACUGGGACUGAGACACGGCCCAGACUCCUACGGGAGGCAGCAGUGGGGAAUCUUGCGCAAUGGACGAAAGUCUGACGCAGCCAUGCCGCGUGAAUGAUGAAGGUCUUAGGAUUGUAAAGUUCUUUAGCCUGUGACGAUGAUGACGGUAACAGGAGAAUAAGCCCCGGCUAACUUCGUGCCAGCAGCCGCGGUAAAGUGUGACUG
rnacentral:rRNA from 1 species